rnacentral:rRNA from 1 species
GAUGAACGCUGGCGGCGUGCCUAACACAUGCAAGUCGAGCGAUUCUCUUCGGAGAAGAGCGGCGGACGGGUGAGUAACGCGUGGGUAACCUGCCCUGUACACACGGAUAACAUACCGAAAGGUAUGCUAAUACGAGAUAAUAUGCUUUUAUCGCAUGGUAGAAGUAUCAAAGCUUUUGCGGGACAGGUUGGACCCGCGUCUGAUUAACUAGUUGGUAAGGUAAGGGCUUACCAAGGCGACGAUCAGUAGCCGACCUGAAAGGAUGAACAGACACAGUAGAACGGAGACACGGUCCAAACCCCUAGGGGAGGCAGCAGUGGGGAAUAUUGGACAAUGGGCGAAAGCCUGAUGCAGCAACGCCGCGUGAGCGAUGAAGGCCUUCGGGUCGUAAAGCUCUGUCCUCAAGGAAGAUAAUGACGGUACUUGAGGAGGAAGCCCCGGCUAACUACGUGCCAGCCGCCGCCGUAA